GGAUGUGGACUUAGACAAGGAGUUU
rnacentral:piRNA from 1 species